rfam:Triticum aestivum genome assembly, contig: Triticum_aestivum_CS42_TGACv1_scaffold_514696_6BS
GUAGUAUUCCCUCCGUCCCAAAAUUCUUGUCUUACAUUUGUUUAGAUACGGAGGUAUCUAACACUAAAAUGUAACUAGAUACAUCCGUAUUUAGCCAAAUUUAAGACAAGAAUUUUGGGAUGGAGGGAGUACAAA